UAAACCUCACCUCUAUAGUUUUCUAUAGUUGUGCUUUGGGUGUCUGCCAUUCGUGGCUCGCCUUAAAUGUCUAAGUGGAAUGCGUAAUAAGUUCUCGCAACCCUCCACUCUAACUACACUUUAUA
rnacentral:misc_RNA from 1 species